UACGUAGGGUGCGAGCGUUAAUCGGAAUUACUGGGCGUAAAGCGUGCGCAGGCGGUUCGUUAUGUCCGAUGUGAAAGCCCCGAGCUCAACUUGGGAAUGGCAUUGGAAACUGGCGGGCUGGAGUGUGGCAGAGGGGGGUGGAAUUCCACGUGUAGCAGUGAAAUGCGUAGAGAUGUGGAGGAACACCGAUGGCGAAGGCAGCCCCGUGGGCCAACACUGACGCUCAGGCACGAAAGCGUGGGGAGCAAACAGG
rnacentral:rRNA from 1 species